rnacentral:tRNA from 1 species
GGACAGAUGCCAGAGUGGUCGAUCGGGCUCGCCUGGAAAGCGUGUGAACAGUUAAAUGUUCCGAGGGUUCGAAUCCCUCUCUGUCCGCCA